GACGAACGCUGGCGGCGUGCCUAAUACAUGCAAGUUGAGCGAUGAAGCUUGGUGCUUGCACCAAUUUGAAGAGCAGCGAACGGGUGAGUAACGCGUGGGGAAUCUGCCUUUGAGCGGGGGACAACAUUUGGAAACGAAUGCUAAUACCGCAUAACAACUUUAAACAUAAGUUUUAAGUUUGAAAGAUGCAAUUGCAUCACUCAAAGAUGAUCCCGCGUUGUAUUAGCUAGUUGGUGAGGUAAAGGCUCACCAAGGCGAUGAUACAUAGCCGACCUGAGAGGGUGAUCGGCCACAUUGGGACUGAGACACGGCCCAAACUCCUACGGGAGGCAGCAGGAGGGAAUCUUCGGCAAUGGACGAAAGUCUGACCGAGCAACGCCGCGUGAGUGAAGAAGGUUGUCGGAUCGUAAAACUCUGUUGGUAGAGAAGAACGUUGGUGAGAGUGGAAAGCUCAUCAAGUGACGGUAACUACCCAGAAAGGGACGGCUAACUACGUG
rnacentral:rRNA from 1 species